AUUGAGCGCUGGCGGAAUGCUUUACACAUGCAAGUCGAACGGCAGCACGGACUUCGGUCUGGUGGCGAGUGGCGAACGGGUGAGUAAUGUAUCGGAACGUGCCCAGUCGUGGGGGAUAACGUAGUGAAAAUUACGCUAAUACCGCAUACGAUCUAUGGAUGAAAGCGGGGGAUCGCAAGACCUCGCGCGAUUGGAGCGGCCGAUAUCAGAUUAGGUAGUUGGUGGGGUAAAGGCCCACCAAGCCAACGAUCUGUAGCUGGUCUGAGAGGACGACCAGCCACACUGGAACUGAGACACGGUCCAGACUCCUACGGGAGGCAGCAGUGGGGAAUUUUGGACAAUGGGCGAAAGCCUGAUCCAGCCAUUCCGCGUGCAGGAUGAAGGCCCUCGGGUUGUAAACUGCUUUUGUACAGAACGAAAAGGUUUCUACUAAUACUAGGAGCUCAUGACGGUACCGUAAGAAUAAGCACCGGCUAACUACGUGCCAGCCGCCGCGGUAA
rnacentral:rRNA from 1 species